GUAAAGUAUACUGUAACAAUUUUCAUAAUUAUAGUAUUUUUUUCUAAGUAAUCUGUAUUGUAUUGUUGUGUAAUCGAAGUGUAACCAAUUGCUAUUUUAUCACCGCAAUAGAUUUAUGGUGAUAAGUGAUAUAGUUACUUUCAUUUUUCCUUUAAAUAAGACAUACCGUCCACUAUGACAAUUGGUUCUAAAGCGGUAUCAAAGCUUAUUGUACCUAUUAUUAGUAAUGUAGUUUGCUUAGCACGGUCACAAUUUAGCACAAUACUUUUUUGCAGCAAAAUGGCAGUGGAUAAUCCCGAUUUUAAGUCGGCUACGUCUAUUCAUGAAUUCACCGUCAAAAAUAUAAAAGGUGCUGAUGUAAAACUAGAUAUAUACAAAGGUCACGUUUGUAUUAUUGUGAAUGUUGCCUCACAGUGUGGUCUUACUGCAAAUAACUACAAACAACUUAAUGAACUAUACGAACAAUAUGCAGAAACUAAAGGAUUGCGAAUCCUGGCAUUUCCCUGCAACCAAUUCGCUGGUCAAGAACCAGGAAACUCCGAAGACAUCGUUUGUUUCGCUGCUGAUCGCAAAGUGAAAUUCGAUUUGUUUGAAAAAAUCGAUGUUAAUGGGGACAAUGCUAGCCAAUUAUGGAAAUUCUUAAAGCAUAAACAAGGCGGUACCCUGGGCAGUUCAAUUAAGUGGAAUUUUACGAAAUUCAUUGUGGACAAGGACGGAGUUCCUGUUGAACGACAUGGACCCAAUGUAGAUCCUAAAGAUUUGGUCAAGUCUUUGGAAAAAUAUUGGUGAAGACAUUCUUGAUAAUAAUCAACUCCUAUUACUUUAGCAUUCAAAGUGCGUAAAAAUGGCAGAAGCCAAUAACCCAGAUUAUAAGUCUGCUACAUCUAUUCAUGAAUUCACUGUCAAAAACAUUAAAGGUGAAGAUGUUAAGCUGGAUGUGUACAAAGGUCACAUUUGUAUUAUUGUGAAUGUUGCUUCACAGU